rnacentral:rRNA from 1 species
AUACAGAGGGUGCGAGCGUUAAUCGGAAUUACUGGGCGUAAAGCGCGCGUAGGCGGUUAUUUAAGUCAGAUUUGAAAUCCCUGGGCUCAACCUAGGAACUGCAUCUGAAACUGGGUAACUAGAGUUUAGGAGAGGGGAGUAGAAUUUCGGGUGUAGCGGUGAAAUGCAUAGAGAUCCGAAGGAAUACCAGUGGCGAAGGCGACUCCCUGGCCUAGAUCUGACGCUGAGGUGCGAAAGCGUGGGUAGCAAACGGGAUUAGAUACCCUAGUAGUCC